GGUCUUGACAUCCCGGAGACCCUUAGGAAACUAGGGGUGCUUCCAUCUGGAAGAAUCUGGAGACAGGUGCUGCAUGGCUGUCGUCAGCUCGUGUCGUGAGAUGUUGGGUUAAGUCCGCAACGAGCGCAACCCUUGCCUUUAGUUGCCAGCAGUUCGGCUGGGCACUCUAAAGGGACUGCCGGUGUUAAACCGGAGGAAGGUGGGGAUGACGUCAAGUCCUCAUGGCCUUUAUGACCAGGGCUACACACGUACUACAAUGGCCGAUACAAAGGGCAGCGACACUGCGAGGUGAAGCCAAUCCCGUAAAAUCGGUCUCAGUCCGGAUUGGAGUCUGCAACUCGACUCCAUGAAGUUGGAAUCGCUAGUAAUCGUGGAUCAGCAUGUCACGGUGAAUACGUUCCCGGGCCUU
rnacentral:rRNA from 1 species